rnacentral:pre_miRNA from 1 species
AACGGUGUUACGUUAUUUAUUUUAGAAUUUGUACGAUCUGCUGUCGAGAACGAUUUCACAGAGCGUACCGAUUCUUUAAUAAGUAUCGUCAACAACAAGCAACGUUGGAUCA